rnacentral:rRNA from 1 species
CCUACGGGAGGCAGCAGUGGGGAAUAUUGGGCAAUGGGCGCAAGCCUGACCCAGCAACGCCGCGUGAAGGAAGAAGGUUUUCGGGUUGUAAACUUCUUUUAAGAGGGAAGAGCAGAAGACGGUACCUCUUGAAUAAGCCACGGCUAACUACGUGCCAGCAGCCGCGGUAAUACGUAGGUGGCAAGCGUUGUCCGGAUUUACUGGGUGUAAAGGGCGUGCAGCCGGGAAGACAAGUCAGAUGUGAAAUCCCGGGGCUCAACCGCGGAACUGCAUUUGAAACUGUUUUUCUUGAGUACCGGAGAGGUCAUCGGAAUUCCUUGUGUAGCGGUGAAAUGCGUAGAUAUAAGGAAGAACACCAGUGGCGAAGGCGGAUGACUGGACGGCAACUGACGGUGAGGCGCGAAAGCGUGGGGAGCAAACAGGAUUAGAUACCCGUGUAGUC